AAUGGAAAACAUCCACUAGUUAGAAGGAAUGUAACUCUCCAGAGUCAUGUGGCAUGAGAAGAGGGACUACUAAAUUUCUGAAGUUAGAGUAUAAACCUGCCAUGAAUGACCGAAAUAACGAAUCCAGCAGAUCGGAUCACUGGGAUGUCCAUGAAUGAUCUCUAUUUGCGCUGUAUGCAAUUCUCCACUCAUUACCAGCUAUUCAGUUCUCUAUUACGUUGUACCCCACCUUGAGACAAGUGAAUUCAGAAGCUCAAGGGGGAAUCCAGGAGUGGCUGGAAUAGGAGGCAUCUUCUACAGGGCAGAAAAGAGUCUGUUGCAUUUUUUAGUGGGAUGAUCAGUAUUACUGAUUCCACUAAAGCACGAGUUUCUGCUCUCUUGACUGGCUUAUGAAUCGCAAGACAACAGGGUUUUACCUCUCUAUCUAUUGAAGGGGAUUUGGUAAAUACUAUUGGAUGGAGCAGAGGGAAAGAACAUGAUCCCUGGCAUCUGGAACAUAUGUUGAAUGAGAUCAUCAUCAUCAUCCAAGACUUAUCCCAACUAUAUGGGGUCAGCUACAUGAAUCCUGUUUUGCCAUUCCAUUCUGUUAAUGAAUGAGAUAGGAGAUAUUAUCGUUAUCAUUUUGGAAGCUUGUAUGAGGUGGUCCCAAGGGGGAGGGGUGAGCUUAAAGGAAGAUGGGUUAGCUAAAACAUGGGCUGGGAGGGAUCUUUCGUAUGAUGAUUUUCUCCUGCCAGAGUAAAUUUUUUAGCAGAUCCUUCUUUUCCAUGUAUGCAUCUUGUCAUGUACACCUCUUAUUUUCUAAUAGCAUACUACUACUAUUUUCAAGAAA